CCUACGGGGGGCAGCAGUGGGGAAUAUUGGACAAUGGGGGGAACCCUGAUCCAGCCAUGCCGCGUGUGUGAAGAAGGCCCUCGGGUUGUAAAGCACUUUCAGUGAGGAAGAACGCCUGGUGGUUAAUACCCAUCAGGAAAGACAUCACUCACAGAAGAAGCACCGGCUAACUCCGUGCCAGCAGCCGCGGUAAUACGGAGGGUGCGAGCGUUAAUCGGAAUUACUGGGCGUAAAGCGCGCGUAGGUGGCUUGAUAAGCCGGUUGUGAAAGCCCCGGGCUCAACCUGGGAACGGCAUCCGGAACUGUCAAGCUAGAGUGCAGGAGAGGAAGGUAGAAUUCCCGGUGUAGCGGUGAAAUGCGUAGAGAUCGGGAGGAAUACCAGUGGCGAAGGCGGCCUUCUGGACUGACACUGACACUGAGGUGCGAAAGCGUGGGUAGCAAACAGGAUUAGAUACCCGGGUAGGC
rnacentral:rRNA from 1 species